UUGCAAUCCAAGUUUGUGACAAUAACUCAGUUCAAUUGUUUAUUUUUUUCCAGGGCUACCUGCAGUUUCAAAUAGAGGACCCUACAAUACCCCUUCAUCAGCUGUUCAGAAAAAUGGAGGAAAUCAAAUCUAAAGAAGAAUUUGUGGAAGAAUAUUCUAUCAAAGAAACAACUCUGGAACAAGUUUUCCUUUCGUUUGCCAAAAAACAGCUGACAACCCUUUAGAAAACAGCUGACAACCCCAUAGGCUAAUCUUUAUAAAACAGCUGACUAAUCUUUAGAAAACAGCUGACUACUCUUUAAAAAAAAAAGCUGACUACUUUUUGGAAAACACCUAACUAAUCUUUAGAAAACACCUGAAUGCUAUUUAGUAAACAGCUGAGUAUUCUUGAGUAAACAGCUGACUACUAUUUAAAAAACAGCUGCAUUAUUGUGACACUCGAUCAUUAGCUGGCUAUUUUUUAAAAGCAAUUAAUUAACAUUCCAUUUGAUACAAAUGUAAACAUGGAUUCUCAAAAAAAGUGUGAAAUUAAGUCAUUUAAUAUCCACAUGAAUGUAAUUUUAAAUAUGUUAUGCGUCCACUCAACCUAAAGCAACACAUCUCACAUAGAUUCAGUCUGCUUAUUAAAAUGAUCAUUAAUUUUUAAGACAGGGUCGACUUUGAAGUGUCGGAACGCUUUGGGCUUUGGUUUGUCCGCUCUAACUCACUUAUGCUUUUCUGUAGCCAUUUACAUGUUCAUUUUAGCAUUAUAAAACAAUUGAUGUUAGCUUUGGUAUUUAAGAAGAAUAAUUGGUAAAAUUCU